GGGCGCAAGCCUGAUCCCAGCCAUGCCGCGUGCAGGAUGACGGUCCUAUGGAUUGUAAACUGCUUUUAUACGAGAAGAAACACUCCUUCGUGAAGGAGCUUGACGGUAUNGUAAGAAUAAGGAUCGGCUAACUCCGUGCCAGCAGCCGCGGUAAUACGGAGGAUCCAAGCGUUAUCCGGAAUCAUUGGGUUUAAAGGGUCCGUAGGCGGUUUAGUAAGUCAGUGGUGAAAGCCCAUCGCUCAACGGUGGAACGGCCAUUGAUACUGCUAGACUUGAAUUAUUAGGAAGUAACUAGAAUAUGUAGUGUAGCGGUGAAAUGCUUAGAGAUUACAUGGAAUACCAAUUGCGAAGGCAGGUUACUACUAAUGGAUUGACGCUGAUGGACGAAAGCGUGGGUAGCGAACAGGAUUAGAUACCCUGGUAGUCCACGCCGUAAACGAUGGAUACUAGCUGUUGGGAGCAAUCUCAGUGGCU
rnacentral:rRNA from 1 species